rnacentral:tRNA from 1 species
GGUUCGGUAGCUAAGUGGUAGUAAGUUAUACAAGUCUCCAUCGAAGACAAGCGUUCGAUUCUAACAACGAUUAUAGUAGCGUGGGAUUGCAGUCUUUAAGCAGCUAUCCUAAGGUCACGUGUUCGAUCCACGUUCGGACCU